rnacentral:lncRNA from 1 species
UUAAUUUAAACAUUAAAAAACCAAGAUAAUUUCAUGAUAUCUGGUGAUGGAAGGCAUGACAGGAAUUAUGCCUACACAAUAUGUUGAGACAGCAGAAGUUGAGAUUUCAGCAACAGAAAAUGAUUUUGAGUUUCGUCAUCCAGAAAAUGUCAGUAAUUUUGAUGAAGCAAUAAGAAAAAGAGAACAAGAAUAUCGAUCAAAACUGGAUGAAACAAGAAGUCUCUUAUUGUCAAAUGACCUUAAGAAGUUUAACAAAAGAACUGGAGUUAAUGCGAUGUGAUAGUCGUCGAUGUAAAGAGGAACUCAACAAGACAGAGCUGAGAACUCGGGAGCUGGAGAAGAUGCUUAAAGGAAAAGAUUGGAUGAUUUCUGAUUUGGAAAACACUAAUAAGUUUUAGGUCACAGAUCUCGAAGCACAACUGGAAUAUAUGAGGAGAAUGGGAGACAACUUACAGGAGGAUUUAUAAGAAAACAUGCCGAAUUGGAUCGCUUUGCUCAGGAAAAAGAAGAAAUGUUGGCCAACGCUAAACAAGCGAAAUCAAUCAAUCGCAGACUUAAAGAGCAAGAUGGACCAACAGAACCAGGAAUUUUCCAGAUUAACUGUAGCAAAGGAUGUUGAAUGGGAAACUUUGCACCAACAGGAUGCCAAGAUAUGAUCUGAACUCGCGCAGAGAAAGAAUGAUCUUGAGAGGAGGCAGAAAGAGUUGUCUUUAUCUUUGGAGAGAGAGUCGUCGUUGGAACGUUCUAGGGCUCAGCUUGAAUUAGAUUAGCAGCGCAGAUAUGAAUAGGAAAAAAGAACUGGGUAUGAUAAACAAGAAGAACUAGUUAAGAAUUUAACACAAGGCAAAGAAGAGGCGUUAUCGUUGGUGUAACAACAGAAACGUGAACUGCUUCACAAGGAUAGUGUUAUCCAUAUUUUGAAGACACAAAGAGAUGAAUCAGUUUCUAUCCUCAAGCUUCAUGGACUAGCCGUGCCUUCCCAAAUAUCAGUCGAAGAUGUUGGCACCCCAGCAGCGAAUAUGAAUAAUGAAGAACUUCAAGUUCAGAACGAAAAUUUUCGUCAUGUUAUUCAUCAAAUGAGAGAGGAUUUGGAGGAUUUGACGAAACAGUUGACUCAACGUACCACUGGAUCGAUUACUAAUGCAGGAGAUGGCGUACCAAUCAGAGAAGAAUAUGUGACAUGUCUGGAAAAAGAAAUUCGAGAAGUGAAGGCGAGAAACCGCGAACUGACCCAAUCCAUGGCUAAUACAAAUGCUAAAACUGAAAAUACUGAGCCAACUUACGUUUUAGAUUGAAGUAGUUUACGCCAAGAGAAAUUUGAUCUUACAUCUCAAUUAAGAAAAUGUGAAGCAACUAUCCUUCAUCUUCAAGGUUCGUCAGAAGCAACAAAACAUUGACCAACUUCACUAUCAGUUGGCAACAGAGAAUCGUCGGGCCAACGAAGAAAUAAAUUGGCUUUGAAACAGCAAAACUCUGAUCUCAAGCUGCAGGUAACCCAAGCAAGACACCAGGCUGACGAAUUUUACAAAACGGGUUUGGAGAGAAAUAUUGAUGCUGUAUCAUUAGGAAACCAGAAAUCGCUGAUAUGAAUUAAGGGAGUAGUAUCGUCAGCUGAAGGAUUACACACAAAACUACGUCAAGCUGCUCAACGGAUUAAUGGAUUAACAAAAGAACGCGAACAGUUGAUUAAAAUGGGAAAUAAGCUGAGAGCUAAAUUGUUGAAAUUUAAAGGAGAAAGAAAAUCACCUUCAAUUGAAGCAAGUCAAUCAUUCAAAGAUCCGCAGAAUGUGGCGCAAACAUCCCGAUCCCAA